CAUAUCAAUAAGCGGAGGAAAAGAAACCAACAGGGAUUGCCCUAGUAACGGCGAGUGAAGCGGCAACAGCUCAAAUUUGAAAUCUGGCGUCUUUGGCGUCCGAGUUGUAAUUUGCAGAGGGCGCUUUGGCAUUGGCAGCGGUCCAAGUUCCUUGGAACAGGACGUCACAGAGGGUGAGAAUCCCGUACGUGGUCGCUAGCCUUUACCGUGUAAAGCCCCUUCGACGAGUCGAGUUGUUUGGGAAUGCAGCUCUAAAUGGGAGGUAAAUUUCUUCUAAAGCUAAAUACUGGCCAGAGACCGAUAGCGCACAAGUAGAGUGAUCGAAAGAUGAAAAGCACUUUGGAAAGAGAGUUAAAAAGCACGUGAAAUUGUUGAAAGGGAAGCGCUUGCAGCCAGACUUGCCUGUAGUUGCUCAUCCGGGUUUUUACCCGGUGCACUCUUCUACGGGCAGGCCAGCAUCAGUUUGGGCGGUUGGAUAAAGGUCUCUGUCAUGUACCUCCUCUCGGGGAGAACUUAUAGGGGAGACGACAUGCAACCAGCCCGGACUGAGGUCCGCGCAUCUGCUAGGAUGCUGGCGUAAUGGCUGUAAGCGGCCCGUCUUGAAACACGGACCAAGGAGUCUAACAUCUAUGCGAGUGUUUGGGUGUCAAGCCCGAGCGCGUAAUGAAAGUGAACGGAGGUGGGAACCUUUCGGGGUGCACCAUCGACCGAUCCUGAUGUCUUCGGAUGGAUUUGAGUAAGAGCAUAGCUGUUGGGACCCGAAAGAUGGUGAACUAUGCUUGAAUAGGGUGAAGCCAGAGGAAACUCUGGUGGAGGCUCGCAGCGGUUCUGACGUGCAAAUCGAUCGUCAAAUUUGGGCAUAGGGGCGAAAGACUAAUCGAACUAUCUAGUAGCUGG
rnacentral:rRNA from 1 species